rnacentral:ncRNA from 1 species
UACCGAGUUGAUCCUUGAAGUAGUCAUUUGCUUGUCUCACAGAUUAAGCCAUGCAUGUCUAAGUGCACGCCUUCAUACCGUGAAACCACGAAUGCCCCAUUAAAUCAGCUAUUGUUUAUUGGAUCAUACCCGUUAAAUGGAACUAAUACAUGCCCCGAAGCCCUGACCUGCGAAGAAAUAAGUGCACUUAUUUGAUCAGAAGCCUACCAGGUAGUGUUCUUCUGCCUUCGGGUGGAAGCUCCGCUGCCUGUUGUCCUUCUGGUGACAAUGGACAAUUUUUACAGAUCGCAGUGGGCAUUGCGUCGACGACGGGUCCUUCAAAUAUCUGCCCUUUCAACUUUCGCUGGUAGGUAACCUGCAUACCAUGGUGAUAACGGGUAACGGGGAAUUAGGGUUCGAUUCCAGAGAUGGAGCAUGAAAAAACGGAUACCACUUCCAAGGGAGGCAGCAUGCGCACAAAUUACCCACUCCAAGUACGGGGAGGUGGUGACGAAAAAUACCGAUGCAGGACUCUUAUUGAGGCUCCGUAAUCGGAAUG